UUUAAGGUCUAACCUGCCCAAUGAGGAUUUAAAUGGCCGCAGUAUUUUGACUGUGCAAAGGUAGCAUAAUUAUUAGUUUUUUAAUUGAAAGCUUGUAUGAAGGGUUGGACGAGAUGAAAUCUGUCUUUAUUUAAAUUAAAGUAUAAUUUAACUUUUAAGUAAGAAGGCUUAAAUGUUUAUAAAAGACGAGAAGACCCUAUAGAUCUUUAUUUAAUUGAAAUUUUAAUAAUUUAGGAUUAUUUUAAUUUAAAGUUUUAAUUGAAUUUUAUUGGGGUAAUAUAAAGAUUAAAUAAAUUCUUUUUAUUUAUAACAUUGAUUUAUGAAUAUAUGAUCCAUUAAUAUUGAUUAUAAGAUUAAGUUACCUUAGGGAUAACAGCGUAAUUUUUUUGGAGAGCUCAUAUCGAUAAAAAAGUUUGCGACCUCGAUGUUGGAUUAAAAAUUAGCUUGGGUGCAGAAGCUCAAGAUUUUGGUCUGUUCGACCAUUAAAUUUUUACAUGAUCUGAGUUCAGACCGGCGUGAGCCAGGUCGGUUUCUAUCUUUAUUAAGAUAAAAUGUUUUAGUACGAAAGGACCAGACAUUUAAUAUAAUUAUAUUUAUUUUUU
rnacentral:rRNA from 1 species